rnacentral:rRNA from 1 species
GUGAGGAAUUUUGCGCAAUGGGGGCAACCCUGACGCAGCGACGCCGCGUGGAGGACGAAGUCUUUCGGGAUGUAAACUCCUGUCAGUGGGGACGAUAAUGACGGUACCCACAGAGGAAGCACCGGCUAACUCCGUGCCAGCAGCCGCGGUAAGACGGAGGGUGCAAGCGUUGUUCGGAAUUACUGGGCGUAAAGCGUAUGUAGGCGGCAAGUUAAGUUCAAUGUUAAAGCCCACGGCUCAACCGAGGAGAUGCAUUGAAUACUGGCUAGCUAGAGGGGGUUAGAGGAAGACGGAAUUCCCAGUGUAGCGGUGAAAUGCGUAGAUAUUGGGAGGAACAUCGGUAGCGAAAGCGGUCUUCUGGGACAUACCUGACGCUGAGGUACGAAAGCGUGGGGAGCAAACGGGAUUAGAAACCCCGGUAGUCC